rnacentral:rRNA from 1 species
GACGAACGCUGGCGGCGUGCUUAACACAUGCAAGUCGAACGCUGAAGCUCAGCUUUUGUUGGGUGGAUGAGUGGCGAACGGGUGAGUAACACGUGAGUAACCUGCCUCCUUCUUUGGGAUAACGCCCGGAAACGGGUGCUAAUACUGGAUAUUCACUGGUCUUCGCAUGGGGGUUGGUGGAAAGGGUUUUUCUGGUGGGGGAUGGGCUCGCGGCCUAUCAGCUUGUUGGUGGGGUGAUGGCCUACCAAGGCUUUGGCGGGUAGCCGGCCUGAGAGGGUGACCGGUCACAUUGGGACUGAGAUACGGCCCAGACUCCUACGGGAGGCAGCAGUGGGGAAUAUUGCACAAUGGGCGCAAGCCUGAUGCAGCGACGCCGCGUGAGGGAUGGAGGCCUUCGGGUUGUGAACCUCUUUCGCUCAUGGUCAAGCCGCAACAAUGGUUGUGGUGAGGGUAGUGGGUAAAGAAGCGCCGGCUAACUACGU